rnacentral:lncRNA from 1 species
AGGGAGAAGAUAAUGUUUAUUAUAGUUCUAAAAUUUCCCAAUUAGUAUUCUAGAUCUGUUUCACAUAAUUGAGAAUUUCUAGUUCUAAAAUUUCCCCAAUUAAUACUUUAGACAUGUUUCACAUCAUGUAGAAUUUAAAGUGAAACCUGUAUAUCCAUUACAAAAAUCCAGUUAUUUAGAAGCUGAGCACAUGUUUUACAUAUAUUGUUCUGUUGUGGUUUACUCUUAAAGAGUGGUGUGUUCCUAAUCAAGAGUCCCAUGGUUUGGUUUGAUGAUCUUGGAGGUCUUUUUCCAAUGUUGAUGAGAAGCUGAAGAACAUUUUGAGGUGCCACCGGAACCAGGAGAACAAUGACAGAAACACAGAAGAGCAAGCUGUGUGUGAGCUGCUAAUUGAAACCAUCUCCUGGGCUCCAGCUGGUGGAGUUCCAGCCGGGAGGAGGGAGGAGGCUCCUUCGGCGUGGCAGUGAAGGAAACCUGAGCAUGUGUCUGAGUAAAUGCAGAAAUGGG